CCCCUCUCAGGGUCGCACCUGGUGAGUUUCCAAAACUCUAUCAGUCACAAGUAUAGGAGGGGGAGAGUCAAGCAGAGGCAUACCUAUUCCAUUCCUAGCUUGGUCAGUGGCUCGUGAGUGGAAGACAAUCUGCUACAAGU